AGAGCAGAGAGGCCCGCGAGAGGGAAAGCUGGCCCAGGCCCAGGGCAGGCUCGCCUCUGACUCUGCAGGGACAUUAUUCCCUCCCAGCCAGCAGGGAACUUCUGGAACUUCUAAACAGCACAUCCUCGAGCCAGCCCAGGCCCCCACAGCAUCCUGCACCCCAGGUUUACAAGCUUUUUAAUGAUGGAGUUUUGCUCUUACGCCCAGGCUGGAAUGAAGUGGCAUGAUCUUGGCUCACUGCAACCUCUGCCCCACCAAAAUUCAAGCAAUUCUCCUGCCUCAGCCUCCCGAGUAGCUGGGAUUACAGGCAUGCACCACCACACCUGCCUAAUUUUUGUAUUUUUAGUAGAGAUGGGGUUUUGCCAUGUUGCCCAGGCUGGUCUCGAACUCCUGACCUCAAUUGAU
rnacentral:lncRNA from 1 species